GAGUUUGAUCGUGGCUCAGAUUGAACGCUGGCGGCAUGCCUUACACAUGCAAGUCGAACGGCAGCAUGAUCUAGCUUGCUAGAUUGAUGGCGAGUGGCGAACGGGUGAGUAAUACAUCGGAACGUGCCCUGUAGUGGGGGAUAACUAGUCGAAAGAUUAGCUAAUACCGCAUACGACCUGAGGGUAAAAGUGGGGGACCGCAAGGCCUCAUGCUAUAGGAGCGGCCGAUGUCUGAUUAGCUAGUUGGUGGGGUAAAGGCCCACCAAGGCGACGAUCAGUAGCUGGUCUGAGAGGACGAUCAGCCACACUGGGACUGAGACACGGCCCAGACUCCUACGGGAGGCAGCAGUGGGGAAUUUUGGACAAUGGGGGCAACCCUGAUCCAGCAAUGCCGCGUGUGUG
rnacentral:rRNA from 1 species